GCUUGGAUGGCUCAGUUGGUUAGAGCGCAGGUCUCAUACUUUCGUAUGACCACCGCGAUGGUGGGUAAUCCUGAGGUCGUGAGUUCGAUCCUCACUCCGAGCA